rnacentral:tRNA from 1 species
UGACAUGGAGCUUGAUUAGUUAAGCAACUCAUUUACAUUGAGUAAAUAUUUGUGCAACUCAAAUCGUGUUAA